rnacentral:tRNA from 1 species
GCCUUCGUGGUGUAGUGGUCAGCACGCUCGACGCGCAUUCGAGAGGUCCCUGGUUCGAGUCCCGGCGAGGGCA